ACAUCCAGAGAACUUAGCAGAGAUGCUUUGGUGCCUUCGGGAACUCUGAGACAGGUGCUGCAUGGCUGUCGUCAGCUCGUGUUGUGAAAUGUUGGGUUAAGUCCCGNAACGAGCGCAACCCUUAUCCUUUGUUGCCAGCGGUUCGGCCGGGAACUCAAAGGAGACUGCCGGUGAUAAACCGGAGGAAGGUGGGGAUGACGUCAAGUCAUCAUGGCCCUUACGGCCAGGGCUACACACGUGCUACAAUGGCGCAUACAAAGAGAAGCGACCUCGCGAGAGCAAGCGGACCUCAUAAAAUGCGUCGUAGUCCGGAUUGGAGUCUGCAACUCGACUCCAUGAAGUCGGAAUCGCUAGUAAUCGUAGAUCAGAAUGCUACGGUGAAUACGUUCCCGGGCCUUGUACACACCGCCCGUCACACCAUGGGAGUGGGUUGCAAAAGAAGUAGGUAGCUUAACCUUCGGGAGGGCGCUUACCACUUUGUGAUUCAUGACUGGGGUGAAGUCGUAACAAGGUAAGCGUAGCGAG
rnacentral:rRNA from 1 species